ACGAACGCUGGCGGCGUGCUUAACACAUGCAAGUGGAGCGACGAACCAGGGCUUGCCCUGGGGCAGAGCCGCGAACGGGUGAGUAACACGUGGGUAACGUGCCCCGAUGACUGGGACAACCCGGGGAAACCCGGGCUAAUACCGGAUGUGCCCCCUCACAUCAGUGAGGUGUGUAAAGGAAGCUUCGGCCUCCGCAUCGGGAUCGGCCCGCGGCCCAUUAGCUUGUUGGUGAGGUAACGGCUCACCAAGGCUGCGGUGGGUAGCUGGUCUGAGAGGACGAUCAGCCACACUGGGACUGAGACACGGCCCAGACUCCUACGGGAGGCAGCAGUGGGGAAUCUUGCGCAGUGCGCGAAAGCGUGACGCAGCAACGCCGCGUGGGGGAAGACGGCCUUCGGGUUGUAAACCCCUUUCAGUUGGGACGAAGGUCGGGCGGUUAACAGCCGUUCCGGCCGACGGUACCUUCACAAGAAGCCCCGGCUAACUACGUG
rnacentral:rRNA from 1 species